UACGUAGGGUGCGAGCGUUAAUCGGAAUUACUGGGCGUAAAGUGUGCGCAGGCGGCAGAGCAAGUCGAGUGUGAAAGCCCCGGGCUUAACUUGGGAAUUGCGCUCGAAACUACUUUGCUGGAGUGUGGCAGAGGAAGGUGGAAUUCCACGUGUAGCGGUGAAAUGCGUAGAGAUGUGGAGGAACACCAAUGGCGAAGGCAGCCUUCUGGGCCAACACUGACGCUCAUGCACGAAAGCUAGGGGAGCAAACGGG
rnacentral:rRNA from 1 species